UGGAACUCCAAUUGAACAGCCUUGAAAAAGUGAUGGAGAAACAAACAGAACAUAAAGAUUGUGGGACUCCUCAACUCCAAUAAAUCCUGCAAUGGAAAAAUGGGUUAGAAGGUGGAAAAGCAUAGUAGAGGAUUAUGAUAAUGAAAAUGGGUAGUAAUGUUUUUCAGUAGCUAUCUUUUUCUUCUCUUUUUUUUUUCAUGUUGUUGAUGGUUGUUCUUGAUUGUCUUUAUUUAUUUAUUUUUUUCCUUUUUUGCAUUUGGGAAAAAACAGUUUGUUGACUAAGAGGUGAUGAUGCUGGUGAGGGAAUUUAUUAAAGUAAUGAAUACUUUUUGGAGGACUUAAACAAGUAAAAGGACGAAAUGAAGCAAGCUCAAGCAACAAAUUUUCUGUUAAGUAAGCAUAAAUAUUAACUAGAGGCUUAAAUAAAAUAUUUCACCACCACCACCACAACAACAAAAAGCCCAGAUAUAUCGUCAUUGACAACAGAAACAGAGCAAUAUAAGCAAAAUACAUUACAAGGAAAAUAUGGAGAUAAAAGACAUGAAGGUUUCCCUUUCACUUACAAAGAGGAUCAUUAAGUAACUUCUCGUUGUUAGAACCAAUAUCUAGCAUUACUCGAAGAAUCUGUCAAUUAAACAAGAGUAAACUUAAUGAAAAAGUGUGGUUAAGAAAAGUUGCUAAAAAAUGUCACCAUUAAAUGAUAUUAGUAUUCUUAGAUAAUCUACAAAUUUCAUGAAGAAAAGACUGCAGACUUGAGAGUUACCCCCACUAUCAGGAAUACUUGCUGAAACGGGAAAAAGAUAUCGGCAAAUUCUAAAUACGGCACACUAAAACUCUCACUCUCCUGGUUCUUGCUUAAAAUCACAUGUACAUGUCAAUGCUGAUAGUGCCUCUUCCACUGAAACAAACAAAAUUUCAGUACCAAUUAAGAUGCAAAAAAAUAAGGUAUUUAAGAUGCAGAAAAUAAGGUAGUUAAGAUGCAGAAAAUAAGGAAACACCCCACAUCACUAUAGUGCAUAACAAAUCUAUCACAUAAGCACAAAGAUAAAUACUGAGAGUAUUAGUUAAAACUUAGCAAACACAAAAAGGACAUAAGCUUAUUCUCAAAUUUCAGUACAUAUACUCAUCAAAAUUCAGAAUCUCACGUCACAAACCCGAGCUUAGUGCUCAAGGGUUGACAGUCAUGCCUUUUAUGCAAGAUCUAAGAAGCUAUGAUGCUCAUUAUUGUAAUGAAA
rnacentral:lncRNA from 1 species